GACGAACGCUGGCGGCGUGCUUAACACAUGCAAGUCGAACGGAAAGGCCCCAGCUUGCUGGGGUACUCGAGUGGCGAACGGGUGAGUAACACGUGGGUGAUCUGCCCUGCACUCUGGGAUAAGCCUGGGAAACUGGGUCUAAUACCGGAUAGGACCGUGCUUUAGUGUGUGCGGUGGAAAGUUUUUCGGUGCAGGAUGAGCCCGCGGCCUAUCAGCUUGUUGGUGGGGUAAUGGCCUACCAAGGCGGCGACGGGUAGCCGGCCUGAGAGGGUGUACGGCCACAUUGGGACUGAGACACGGCCCAGACUCCUACGGGAGGCAGCAGUGGGGAAUAUUGCACAAUGGGCGCAAGCCUGAUGCAGCGACGCCGCGUGGGGGAUGACGGCCUUCGCGUUGUAAACCCCUUUCGGCAGGGACGAAGCUUUUGUGACGGUACCUGCAUAAGAAGCACCGGCUAACUACGUG
rnacentral:rRNA from 1 species